rnacentral:misc_RNA from 1 species
GUAGGUGAACCUGCGGAAGGAUCAUUAACAAUGUGCUAGCGGGUCCUCUUUGAAAUAAUAACGGGAUGUCUGAACCCUUGAAUACAAACUUUAGUUGCUUUGGCAGGCCGCCUUUUGGCGUCGGCCUCGGCUGAUUAGUGCCUGCCAGAGGACAAAACUCUAUGUUUUAGUGAAGUCUGAGUACUAUAUAAUAGUUAAAACUUUCAACAACGGAUCUCUUGGUUCUG